rnacentral:rRNA from 1 species
AGUGAACGCUGGCGGUAGGCCUAACACAUGCAAGUCGAACGGCAGCACAGUAAGAGCUUGCUCUUACGGGUGGCGAGUGGCGGACGGGUGAGGAAUACAUCGGAAUCUACUUUUUCGUGGGGGAUAACGUAGGGAAACUUACGCUAAUACCGCAUACGACCUACGGGUGAAAGCAGUGGAUCUUCGGACCUUGCGCGAUUGAAUGAGCCGAUGUCGGAUUAGCUAGUUGGCGGGGUAAAGGCCCACCAAGGCGACGAUCCGUAGCUGGUCUGAGAGGAGGAUCAGCCACAUGAGAACUGAGACACGGUCCAGAGUCCUACGGGAGGCAGCAGUGGGGAAUAUUGGACAAUGGGCGCAAGCCUGAUCCAGCCAUCCCGCGUGGGUGAAGAAGGCGUUCGGGUUGUAAAGACCUUUUGUUGGGAAAGAAAAGCAGCAGGUUAAUACCCCGCUGUUCUGACGGUACCCAAAGAAUAAGCACCGGCUAACUUCGUG